rnacentral:tRNA from 1 species
UGCAUCAGCCAGGAAUCGAACCCGGGCCGCCGGCGUGGCAGGCGAGCAUUCUACCACUGAACCACCGAUGC